GAGUAACCUGCCCUUAACUCUGGGAUAAGCCUGGGAAACUGGGUCUAAUACCGGAUAGGAGCGUCCACCGCAUGGUGGGUGUUGGAAAGAUUUAUCGGUUUUGGAUGGACUCGCGGCCUAUCAGCUUGUUGGUGAGGUAAUGGCUCACCAAGGCGACGACGGGUAGCCGGCCUGAGAGGGUGACCGGCCACACUGGGACUGAGACACGGCCCAGACUCCUACGGGAGGCAGCAGUGGGGAAUAUUGCACAAUGGGCGCAAGCCUGAUGCAGCGACGCCGCGUGAGGGAUGACGGCCUUCGGGUUGUAAACCUCUUUCAGUAGGGAAGAAGCGAAAGUGACGGUACCUGCAGAAGAAGCACCGGCUAACUACGUUUCAGCAGCCGCGGUAAUACGUAGGGUGCGAGCGUUAUCCGGAAUUAUUGGGCGUAAAGAGCUCGUAGGCGGUUUGUCGCGUCUGUCGUGAAAGUCCGGGGCUUAACCCCGGAUCUGCGGUGGGUACGGGCAGACUAGAGUGCAGUAGGGGAGACUGGAAUUCCUGGUGUAGCGGUGGAAUGCGCAGAUAUCAGGAGGAACACCGAUGGCGAAGGCAGGUCUCUGGGCUGUAACUGACGCUGAGGAGCGAAAGCAUGGGGAGCGAACAGGAUUAGAUACCCUGGUAGUCCAUGCCGUAAACGUUGGGCACUAGGUGUGGGGACCAUUCCACGGUUUCCGCGCCGCAGCUAACGCAUUAAGUGCCCCGCCUGGGGAGUACGCUAAAACUCAAAGGAAUUGACGGGGGCCCGCACAAGCGGCGGAGCAUGCGGAUUAAUUCGAUGCAACGCGAAGAACCUUACCAAGGCUUGACAUGUUCUCGAUCGCCGUAGAGAUACGGUUUCCCCUUUGGGGCGGGUUCACAGGUGGUGCAUGGUUGUCGUCAGCUCGUGUCGUGAGAUGUUGGGUUAAGUCCCGCAACGAGCGCAACCCUCGUUCCAUGUUGCCAGCACGUCGUGGUGGGGACUCAUGGGAGACUGCCGGGGUCAACUCGGAGGAAGGUGAGGACGACGUCAAAUCAUCAUGCCCCUUAUGUCUUGGGCUUCACGCAUGCUACAAUGGCCGGUACAAUGGGUUGCGAUACUGUGAGGUGGAGCUAAUCCCAAAAAGCCGGUCUCAGUUCGGAUUGGGGUCUGCAACUCGACCCCAUGAAGUCGGAGUCGCUAGUAAUCGCAGAUCAGCAACGCUGCGGUGAAUACGUUCCCGGGCCUUGUACACACCGCCCGUCAAGUCACGAAAGUUGGUAACACCCGAAGCCGGUGGCCUAACCCUUG
rnacentral:rRNA from 1 species